UCUCCGUUGGUGAACCAGCGGAGGGAUCAUUACUGGAAUCGCAAGAUCCCACAACCCUGUGAACCUACCGAAACGUUGCCUCGGCGGGUGCCCGGCCUCUGCGCCGGGCGCUGCGCCCGCCGGCGGCCCCCUACUCUGUCUCUGCAGCGUGGCAUCUCAGAGACCCAGAAGACAAGUCAAAACUUUCAACAACGGAUCUCUUGGCUCUA
rnacentral:misc_RNA from 1 species